AGUUGGACUGCUAAUUAAACAUAAAGUCUUUUGCAGCUCCAAAAAUAAUAUAGCUGAAUAUCCAUUGUCAGAGAAUUAUAUAAUUUGAUAAUGGUUUUAAUGGGAGGUUUAUUUGUAUUUUCCUCUUGCUUGUGGUAGCUGAGCGCUGGAGAGCCCUCUUGUGCUGGGUGCUGUACACACCCUGUUCAAAAGGAGGAUCCUUGCCAUGAGUCCCCAGCCUGAGCAGGGGAAUCCUGGGCAAGGAUUUGGGUGUGUAAGGGUGCAAAAGAGAUGUUUUUGGGCAGUAUGAGGGAGGAGUGCAGCCAGCCAAAGCUCAGCCACUCUAUAGGCACCGCACCUGAAGAGAGGCUAGAAAGAGGUUCUUGAUACUCAUUUAUGCUCGGGGAGUUUCUGUAAACUGAAAGCACAGCUUCAUUCCCAUUUUUGUCGGUGUGAUUCACUGCACGACUUGUGGUCUGGUAUCCAUUGUCUUUCUGUUUCCUGGUGUGAAAGCUGCUACCUUAGGCAGAGCUUCCAGACAAAGAGAUUAAAGUUUGCUGACGUGACAAAUCUUAUUUGGCAGAUUCCAGGAUUUAGAGACUGAAAUUUCUUGCACUUGGUGAACUUCUGCAGCAUAUCCAAAGCGGAGUCCUGAGGUCACCCCAUCUCCCACAGACAUCUGCCCACAGCAGUCCCUGGGAGACUGGCCACCAAGCCAGGCAGUCUGGGAGCCCCCAGCCCUCAGUGACACUGACACCUGGCUUUGCUGCUGGUAUUUGGGCAGAGGCAGCUCAGUGGGCAGCUUCCUGCUGAGUGGAGGGUUAGGAAGAAAAAAAGACUUCAUCUAAUUCAAACUGAAACUCAAUUUUGAAAAAAGGUGAUGGUUCCUGUUAGCAGAAACCCUCUUUCCUGGUUGUCCUCCAUUCUAACUUUGACCUUCUCAUCUAAAUAAAGGAUGUCUGUGCUUCGUGACUUCUGGUAGUUUCAGUACACAAGGAAGUCUUAGAAUCACCAUAUAGGAAAAUUCAGAGGAGACUUGUUCCCCCAGUACCCACCCCGCACUGUGCAGAAGACCCCAGAUGGAGUUGUAUCAUUCUUUCUAGCUUGGUGUCUACCACGGCCAACAGCUUGCUGUGCCAGCACUCCCGAUCCCCAGCUCAGGUAAGGGUGCUGCUGCUUCGUAUGUGGCUUUGUGGUGUGAUGUAGGAGGGGUGAGUGAGCCUUCUGGUGGAAUUAGGAUUCCUUAUAUCACCAGUCUUACCACAAGGGAGAGCAAGGCUUUA
rnacentral:lncRNA from 1 species